rnacentral:lncRNA from 10 species
GCCACUGCACUGGGCCAGGAAUAUCUUUCUAUGACAAACGGUCUGGUUCUGUCACCCAGGUUGGAAUGCAGUGUCAGGAUCAUAGCUCCACUGUGUGACCUCAAACUCUUGGGCUCAAGCAACUCUCCUGCCUCAAGCAACUCUCCAGCCUCAGCCUCCGAGUAACUGAGACUACAGUCAGGGAAAUGAAGAGCCACUUUCAACAAUUCUGAAGAAGAAAUAUGGGAUGUUUUGCUUCGGGAUGGAGGCUGGAGCAGGAGUUUCUGGAGUCUGCCAGUACCCAGUUUGAAUCCCAGCUCUGCCUUUUAUCAGCUGGGUGUUGGGCAAGUUAGCUGACUUUUGUGAGUUUUCUCAUCAUUAAAAUGAGAACACUGUUA